GUGAAUCAUCGAAUUUUUGAACGCAAAUUGCGCUCUCUGGUAUUCCGGAGAGUAUGCCUGUUUGAGGGUCAUUUUAAAUAAAAAUCGGUGUGGGGGCUGGCGUUCGUGGUGACGCACCGGGUUUGGGUCGUAUUGCCUUGGGUUAAGUGACCUAAAAUUUUGCGUGAUUUUUUCGAACGAGUGUAAAUGAGUGUACGUACGGUUGCGAUAUCGAGUACUAGGUGCGGUCAUCCUCAUGAUUCGC
rnacentral:misc_RNA from 1 species